GUCCGACAUAGCAGGAAGCGCUAAUUUCAUCCACGUCAAUUACUUUGAUGAACGCUCAUACUGUUCAGGGUGCGAGAACAAGAUAAAAGAAUUACUGAAAUAAAAAGCAUACACCCGCCUGCAUGGCCCCCUCCCCUCUGGCCCCCACCCCGGAGCCCUGCAGGGCCGUGGGGCUGGGCUGCCCGCACGCAGCCAGCUGGGUGGUGAUGGGGCGGAUGAGACUGCCUUGGGUUCAAAAGGAGGAGAUUUGGGAUGGAGACAUGGCAGGACCACCCCCUGCAAUUGAACGCAGCCACUAUCUGGAGCACACGUUUGGGGAUGGAGGACAGUGCAGUGACUGCUGAUCCAAGCAGUGUUCCAGCGCCUUCAGGAGGUGGCAAGAGAAGACACAGGAGGCUGGGGACACAAGGGGUUGGAGUCACAAGAGAGCCUCUCAGGGCAGAUGGAAGGAGAACGCCUCCGCUGUGGUCAGUCCCUGAAGACAAAGUGGAUGCUGCUGGCACACUGGAAUGACGGCACGGGUUUGCUGACGGUUUUGCAUGGGAGCAUCGGUUGGGUUUACACCUACAAGUGCUUGGCUAUGGCAGCGGGGCAUCCCAUGGAAAGGCCAAAAAGCAGCAGAGAGAUCCAGGGAAGGAGGAGAUGGCACACGCUGCAAGCCUGUUCUCUGUCAGCGACGCUGCUGGGAGCACGGACACCCAUAGUGGAGCCAGCAGCUGAGGACAGCUCACAGGAGAGGAAAAAAAUGGAGCCAAGGAUGGCACUGUCUCUUUAAAAAUAAAUAAAUAGAUAAAGACUAAAAAAAAAAAAAAGAAAGAAAAAAUGCAAUAAGUAUAUGCAAA
ensembl:lncRNA